UUCUUUAUGGAGGGUGAGAAUCCCGUUCAUGGUUUUAUUCAAGAUAUCUUAUGAAACGUUUUCGAAGAGUCGAGUUGUUUGGGAUUGCAGCUCAAAAUGGGAGGUAAAUUUCUCCUAAGGCUAAAUAUUGGCGAGAGACCGAUAGCGAACAAGUACCGUGAGGGAAAGAUGAAAAGAACUUUGAAAAGAGAGUUAAACAGUACGUGAAAUUGUUGAAAGGGAAACGAUUGAAGUCAGUCAUACCAACGGGAAAUCAACCUUUUGAGUAUGAAUUUUGGAGCUUUAAAGAGUUUCAAAACCUUUGGGUUUCAUUAUUUGUGCUUUUUUGGCGUACUUCUCGUACGGUAGGUUAAGCAUACGGAUUUG
rnacentral:rRNA from 1 species